rnacentral:misc_RNA from 1 species
GUAGGUGAACCUGCGGAAGGAUCAUUAAUGAAUACAGAUGCCUGUCGAGCUUGCUCACGGGCUUUCUAUCAUAUCCAUAACACCUGUGCACUUGUUGGAUGUCUAGAGACGUAAAGUCGACAGUCAUCCACUUACACUAAACAAUAAUGUAACAAAUGUAGUCUUAUUAUAACAAAAUAAAACUUUCAACAACGGAUCUCUUGGCUCUCGCAUCGAUGAAGAACGCAGCAUCUGACUGACUUCAGGUUGC